rnacentral:rRNA from 1 species
GUCGUCAGCUCGUGUCGUGAGAUGUUGGGUUAAGUCCCGUAACGAGCGCAACCCUUGUCCUUAGUUACCAGCACGUAAUGGUGGGCACUCUAAGGAGACUGCCGGUGACAAACCGGAGGAAGGUGGGGAUGACGUCAAGUCAUCAUGGCCCUUAUGACCAGGGCUACACACGUACUACAAUGGUCGGUACAGAGGGUUGCCAACCCGCGAGGGGGAGCUAAUCCCAGAAAGCCGAUCGUAGUCCGGAUUGGAGUCUGCAACUCGACUCCAUGAAGUCGGAAUCGCUAGUAAUCGUGGAUCAGCAUGCCACGGUGAAUACGUUCCCGGGCCUUGUACACACCGCCCGUC